UACGGGGGGGGCAAGCGUUGUUCGGAAUUACUGGGCGUAAAGGGCUCGUAGGCGGCCAACUAAGUCCGACGUGAAAUCCCAAGGCUUAACCUUGGAACUGCGUCGGAUACUGGAUGGCUCGAAUUCGGGAGAGGGAUGCAGAAUUCCAGGUGUAGCGGUGAAAUGCGUAGAUAUCAUCUGGAACGCCAAAGGUGAAAACAGACUGCUGGGAGUGUGCUGACGCUGAGACACGAAAGCUAGGGGAGCGAACGGG
rnacentral:rRNA from 1 species